rnacentral:rRNA from 1 species
UACGUAGGGUGCAAGCGUUGUCCGGAAUUAUUGGGCGUAAAGAGCUCGUAGGCGGUCUGUCGCGUCGGAUGUGAAAACCCAGGGCUCAACCCUGGGCCUGCAUUCGAUACGGGCAGACUAGAGUUCGGUAGGGGAGACUGGAAUUCCUGGUGUAGCAGUGAAAUGCGUAGAUAUCAGGAGGAAUACCGAUGGCGAAGGCAGGUCUCUGGGCUGACACUGACGCUCAUGCACGAAAGCGUGGGGAGCAAACAGG